rnacentral:misc_RNA from 1 species
AAUUGCUAUUAGCACACCGCAUGUCUUUUUUUCUUAAUGCAGUAUCAUAAUAUCAAGAAAAAACAAAAUCCCCUUUCUCCCCUAUGAGGUUCACUACCAAGCUAAACAUUUUUCAAGCAGCUUUUUUUGGCUUUCCUCUUGGUUUGCAGCAUCCUCUUUCCUUUCAUCAAAUAUUUCUUAUGCUAAUACAAUAUCAUACACAAUGCUAAACCCCAACCUGCAAUGUGAAAUGUGUUGUGCAGUGAUCUAAGAUAACAGGAAAA